GAUGAAGAACGCAGCGAAAUGCGAUACGUAAUGUGAAUUGCAAAUUCAGUGAAUCAUCGAGUCUUUGAACGCACAUUGCGCCCCCUGGUAUUCCGGGGGGCAUGCCUGUCCGAGCGUCAUUGCUGCCCUCAAGCACGGCUUGUGUGUUGGGCCCCGUCCUCCGAUUUCGGGGGACGGGCCCGAAAGGCAGCGGCGGCACCGCGUCCGGUCCUCGAGCGUAUGGGGCUUUGUCACCCGCUCUGUAGGCCCGGCCGGCGCUUGCCGAUCAACCCAAAUUUUUAUCCAGGUUGACCUCGGAUCAGGUAGGGAUACCCGCUGAACUUAAGCAUAUCAAUAAGCGGAGGA
rnacentral:misc_RNA from 1 species